rnacentral:rRNA from 1 species
GAUGAACGCUGGCGGCGUGCUUAACACAUGCAAGUCGAACGAACUCGGACUUCGGUCCACAUGAGUGAGUGGCGAACGGGUGCGUAACACGUGAGAAACCUACCUCGAAGUUCGGAAUAACCCAGGGAAACUUGGGCUAAUACCGAAUGCCUUCUUUUGACCUAGUGGUCAGCUGAAGAAAGAUUUAUCGCUUUGAGAGGGUCUCGCGGCCUAUCAGCUAGUUGGUGAGGUAAUGGCUCACCAAGGCAUCGACGGGUAGCUGGAUUGAGAGAUCGAUCAGCCACACUGGAACUGAGACACGGUCCAGACUCCUACGGGAGGCAGCAGUGGGGAAUAUUGCACAAUGGGCGCAAGCCUGAUGCAGCGACGCCGCGUGGGGGAUGAAGGCCUUAGGGUCGUAAACCCCUUUCAGCAGGGAAGAAAAUGACGGUACCUGCAGAAGAAGGUCCGGCCAACUACG